rnacentral:rRNA from 1 species
UACGGAGGGGGCUAGCGUUGUUCGGAAUUACUGGGCGUAAAGCGCACGUAGGCGGAUAGUUAAGUUGGGGGUGAAAUCCCGGGGCUCAACCUCGGAACUGCCUUUGAUACUGCAAAUCUCGAGUCCGGAAGAGGUGAGUGGAAUUCCUAGUGUAGAGGUGAAAUUCGUAGAUAUUAGGAAGAACACCAGUGGCGAAGGCGGCUCACUGGUCCGGUACUGACGCUGAGGUGCGAAAGCGUGGGGAGCAAACAGG